GACGAAGGAUGCAAGCGUUUAUCCGGAUUCAUUGGGUUUAAAGGGAGCGUAGGUGGCCUUAUAAGUCAGUGGUGAAAUCUCUGGGCUUAACCCAGAAAUUGCCAUUGAUACUGUAGGGCUUGAGUACAGUUGCUGUGGGCGGAAUAUGACAUGUAGUGGUGAAAUACAUAGAGAUGCAUAGAACACCGAUUGCGAAGGCAGCUCACAAAACUGUAACUGACACUGAGGCUCGAAAGUGCGGGGAUCAAACAGG
rnacentral:rRNA from 1 species